GGAGCUAUUGGCUUUGAAUUGUAUUGUGGAAAUGUAUUACCAACAGAGGUGCAGGUGCCAGCCUAUUGAAAUAAAGCGUCAAUGAGGGUGAGAAUCCUGUUUGUCAUGUGCAGCCCUUUGUGCACGGUGUAUAUUUGCUGAGUCACACUCCUUGGCAUUGGAAUGCAAAGUGGGUGGUAAGUUUCAUGUAAAGGUAAACAUGCAAUUGAGACUGAUAGCACACAAGUACCAUGAGGGAAAUAUGAAAAGGACUUUGAAAAGAGAAUUAAAUGAGUUUGUAUUUGCUGAACACAAAGUAAACAGACUUGAUUUGCUUGGUGGGAGUGUUGCACUUGCUUGACAAGAGCUUUGGGCUGUGGGUGUAAUGAUUCUUUCUUUGCAUGCCAGUUUCUAUUUGUACAUCUGAUUACCUUUGCACAUGAAUGAUAAGUCUCCUGUGGGGGGUGGAUUGCAUGUGCAUGUAAUGAUUUGUGUUUUGAUAAAUGUGUCUGGUGUAUGUGUGUGUUCCUGUGCUUGGGGAUGCUUCCUUCCUUGGACUUACAAGCCCUGACACACACAUGCUGGCAAAAUGCUUCUGCUUGACCCGUCUUGAAACACGGACCAAGGAGUCUAACAGAUGUGCAAAGUUUGAAGGUGGUAUACCUUUGUGUGCAAUGAAAGUGUCAGCUGGGAUAUGUGCACCAGCACCCAAUUAAUUAGCGGACAGAGGUUUGAGUUGGAGCAUAUCUAUUAGGACCCGAAAGAUGGUGAACUAUGCCUGAACAGAAUGAAUUCAGAGGAAACUCUGAUGGAGGUUCGUAUCGAUACUGACGUGCAAAUCGUUCGUCAUAUUUGGGUAUAGGGGCGAAAGACUAAUCGAACCAUCUAGUAGCUGGUUCCCUCCGAAGUUUCCCUCAGGAUAGCUGGAGUUGCUCAGUUUUAUCAGGUAAAGCGAAUGAUUAGAGGAAUUGGGGACAGGUUUGUCUUUGACCUAUUCUCAAACUUUAAAU
rnacentral:rRNA from 1 species